GACGAACGCUGGCGGCGUGCCUAAUACAUGCAAGUCGAACGGUCUUUUCUAUGGAAGCUUGCUUCCGCUGAGAAGAUAGUGGCGAACGGGUGAGUAACACGUGGUAACCUGCCCAUAAGAGGGGGAUAACAUCCGGAAACCGGUGCUAAUACCGCAUAACGUAUAUAAAUGGCAUCAUAAAUAUACCAAAGGAGCAAAUCCGGUAGAAAGAUGGGCCCGCGUCCGAUUAGCUAGUUGGUGGGUAGAUGCUCACCAAGGCGACGAUCGGUAGCCGAACUGAGAGGUU
rnacentral:rRNA from 1 species